rnacentral:rRNA from 1 species
GUAGGUGGCAAGCGUUGUCCGGAAUUAUUGGGCGUAAAGCGCGCGCAGGCGGUUCUUUAAGUCUGAUGUGAAAGCCCACGGCUCAACCGUGGAGGGUCAUUGGAAACUGGAGAACUUGAGUACAGAAGAGGAAAGCGGAAUUCCACGUGUAGCGGUGAAAUGCGUAGAGAUGUGGAGGAACACCAGUGGCGAAGGCGGCUUUCUGGUCUGUAACUGACGCUGAGGCGCGAAAGCGUGGGGAGCAAACAGGGAUUAGAUACCCUGGUAGUCCACGCCGUAAACGAUGAGUGCUAAGUGUUAGGGGGUUUCCCGCCCCUUAGUGCUGCAGCUAACGCACUAAGCACUCCGCCUGGGGAGUACGGCCGCAAGGCUG